GAUGAACGCUGGCGGCGUGCCUAAUACAUGCAAGUCGAGCGAACAGACGAGGAGCUUGCUCCUCUGGCGUUAGCGGCGGACGGGUGAGUAAUACGUGGAUAACCUACCUAUAAGACUGGGAUAACUUCGGGAAACCGGAGCUAAUACCGGAUAAUAUAUUGAACCGCAUGGUUCAAUAGUGAAAGACGGUUUUGCUGUCACUUAUAGAUGGAUCCGCGCCGCAUUAGCUAGUUGGUAAGGUAACGGCUUACCAAGGCAACGAUGCGUAGCCGACCUGAGAGGGUGAUCGGCCACACUGGAACUGAGACACGGUCCAGACUCCUACGGGAGGCAGCAGUAGGGAAUCUUCCGCAAUGGGCGAAAGCCUGACGGAGCAACGCCGCGUGAGUGAUGAAGGUCUUCGGAUCGUAAAACUCUGUUAUUAGGGAAGAACAAAUGUGUAAGUAACUAUGCACGUCUUGACGGUACCUAAUCAGAAAGCCACGGCUAACUACGUG
rnacentral:rRNA from 1 species